GACGCUGCUUUCUUUUCCUCCUCCAUCCUUCGCCAGCUUUGAAAAGGAAAUUCAACCGAACCCACUUCUCAAGAAGCAGAAAAUUCAUCCGAACCCAAUCCUCCAUCCCACGCAUCCCCGCCCUUCACUGAUCUUCCUCAGGAAACCCAACGCUACCCUUCACUGAUCUUCCUCGGUAAUGCAAGAUCAAUUUGAGAUGAGCAUGAUGGGAGAGCUCACCCUCUUUCUCGGCCUCCAAGUUAAACAAUCCAAUGAUGGUAUAUUCGUGUCACAAAGCAAGUAUGCUAGGUAGUUGGUGAAAAAAUUCGGGAUGGAAAGCUAUCAAACAUGCCCCAAUUCCAAUGAGCACUACCAUCAAGUUGGAUGCAGAUGAUAGUGGUGAAAAAGUAGACCAAAAGCUAUAUCGAUGUAUGAUAGGUAGUAUCCUUUAUCCCACCGCUAGUAGGACGGAUAUCAUGUUUAGUGUUUGUACAUGUGCACGCUUUCAAGCUUCUCCUAAAAAGUCUCAUUUGGUUGCGGUUAAAAAAAUUAUCAAAUAUAUUAAUGGCACCUUAGAACUUGGUUUAUUUUACCCUAAACAUACAUCUUUUAAUUUUUAUGGUUAUUAUGAUGCUAACUUUGCUGGUUGUAGGGUGGACCGCAAGAGUACGAGUGGUACUUGUUAAUUUUUGGGUAACUCCCUUGUAUCUUGGGCAUCCAAGAAACAAAAUUGUGUCGCCUUGUCCACUACGGAAACGUAAUACAUUACCACCGGCCUAUGUUAUGCACAACGUUUAUGGAUGAAACAAAAUUUGGUUGAUUUUGAUUUGUAUUUUCAUGAUACAAAAUUUUUUGUGAUAAUACUAGUGCUAUCAAUAUUUCAAAAAAUUCAGUUUUGCAUUCUAGAACCAAACAUAUAGAUGUACGAUAUCACUUCUUGCGUGACCAUGUUGAACGGAAAGAUGUUUCUCUUGUUUAUAUUGACACAAAAUCUCAAUUAGCGGACAUCUUUACCAAACCCUUUUGUGAAGUUGAUUUUUGCCGUAUUAGAAAUGAAUUAGGCAUGUGCAUUCUUUAAAAAUUAUAUUUUUGCCUAUUUUUGCUUGCUAUCUUUCUUCGCUUUACCAUUGUUAUAUCUAUUCUUUUAUUGAUCCAUAAUGUUAUACAAUGCUUAAGCACACACAGGUACCAAGAGGAGUGUAAAGGUGAGAGAUCGGGAUCAAUUCCAAGAGGAGUAGGACCGGUAGUAAAGCCUAGUGAGAGAUGGUAAUUCUUAAUGCUUGAGGAAUAUGACAGGGGUAGGCCAACACUUGAGGUGCAUUGUGUGCGUUUUGGCAUGCAUUCUUGUCUUUUUUUCCCAUUUUUGAUGGUGACAAAGAGGGAGAGAAAUCUCCUCAUUUGUGCACAUAGUUAGGGGAAGCCUUAGAGAUAGAGGGAACAACUAUCUAUAAGCCAAAUAAUCAAUUUUAUUUGCUCUUGAAUAAUGGUUGUUUGUCAUCAUCAAAAAGGAGAAGAUUGUUAGCCUUUUUGUUUUAAUGAUGAUUUACAAACACCAUUGUUGGUGCUAAUUGUUUAUUGAGCUAUAUUGUGGAUUACAAUUCAUUAUCACCAUUGAUUGAAGAGUGGAUGGAAUAUGGGCUACAACGACGAUAUCUAAGGAGGUGGAGGCAAAGUGAUGAAGUAAAGCUUUCAAAAGAGCACUACAUACAUGAGAAGCUUCAUCAACAUAGAAGCAAAUAUCAAGACUCAAGCCAUGUACUUAUAUGUGAGGGAUAUUUGUUAUUUUAUUUUCUUCUUAGUACUUAAUGUAGGUAAGUAGUUUGUUGAUUACAUUUGAAGCUCUUGGAAUAACACACUUACACAGUUCAA